CCCGUGUGGGUGAGGAACAGAGGCCACGUUUCGGAGGGUAGCCGGCUGUUGGUGAUCUCUGUUGUAAGCAUUUAGUUGUCACUUGGUUUUGAUUUUGGAUGACAGUGAAUUUAAUAUCUAACCAGAAGUCUGAAGACAGGACCCAAUUCAUGAAUGCAUUCUGUAACACUUCGGGGACGUGAGUUUUCGAAUCCAGUACACAACAAUUUUAAAUUAUUUUCAGUGUAUCUGGAAAUAACCAUGUAGUCUUCGAUACAGCAAAUAAAUUCUUUGGAGAGACUCCGCUCUACAUGAAGAAAAUCAAGUGGAUAAUUUCGUUAGGUUGCCACCCCUUUGCCCGUUUUCUGGAUUCCUUUGUUUUUAAGCUGUGAGAAAGAAUUUGGUCUUCUCAGAUGUAUUCGGAAGAAAUUGGGAGUUUUUUCAUUACAGCACCUCAGCAUGCUUAUUUUUAGUUUCUGUGUUCACGUGGAGGAUACAAUUAACUGCUUCGUUUUAUGGCCCAAACUCUUGCCUGGAGGUUGAGUUCAGAGAUGGGGAGGUGGCUGAGAACCAGAGUGGGCGUCUUGGUGAAGGGGCACGUACACUGGGCUGCAUCCUCUCCAGUAGAGGAGGGGUCUCCGGAGCCUCCCCUGGAUGCCGAGGGUGUCGGACCCCGUGAUUGCUGUCUUCUGAGGAAGGAAGUUAAGUGGAGGCAGUGGCUGCAGAGACGGAAAGGAGGUCCCGCGCUAGGCUGUUUCUAACGAUGUGACUGUCU
rnacentral:lncRNA from 1 species